UGACGCUUUUAACGUUUUUGACUUUUAAUUGAGUUCUGUUCGAAUGGACUCCAAAGCAUAUGUUAAGGUUUGUGAACAUACCUAUUUAACCUGUCAUUCGAAAACAAUUCAAACUCAUUUCGAUAAUUGUGAUGCUUGUCAAAAGUAAAAAUGUUGAAAAAUAAAAUCAAAAUGCACGAUGAGUCAAUCAACGACAAAACCAAAUAUUUGUUUCCUAUAAAAUGUACGGAAUGUGCAAAAUACAGAUUAUCAAGUUAUGGUAAUUUAUUGAAUAUCUUGCUUGUGAGUUCUGAGCGCCGAAACCGCCGCCGCCGCCGCGUCGCACCUAUACGUAAACGAACAAGUACGUAAUGUAGAUUUUAAUUAUUCUAAUCAUACAAACGACCGAAACGGACGUGAUGGCUAUACACACGUUCUAAUCAGGAAGGGAUUAUUCGAACUUGCCUUUUGCUUCAUUCUAGUUUAGGUUCUGUUUAGUGCUCUCGUAUUCUAUGGAAGUAGUAGCACUAGCGCAAGUAUAAUAUUAUUAAUAAUACAACUAUGGACUCAUGGACAGUUUCCGGAUUAUUUUCUUAACAUCCAGUGUCAUUAUGUGUAAUAAAUUAUCAUCAAAAUGGGCAAAGACGGCUUUUGCACUUGUUUCAACUGGACUGCGUACUCCACAUAAGACAACAACGACGACGAUGCGACGAGCGACCGACGGACGCUCAGAAAUGCAAAAUUAUUACUGUGUGAAAUUUGUGCAACAAUAAAAAUGAAAUAAAUUCAUUGGAAUGUUGUUGGGAGUUGAUUAAAAACUAAUUGUAAACAACACCAUCAAUUGAAUACGAAACUAAAAAAUAACAA